AUGAGCCUAAUGUUUAUUCUUUUCACUCAAACAUCAUUAUACCAUUACAGAAAAUCAGGAAUUUGAACAUUAGCUUGCGACUUUGCCAUAGAUUUGAACGCCACCAGCUUUGAUGCAGUCCUUGGAGACACCCCUGCCUCCUUUGCCAUAGUCUAAUUCUUCACUCACUGAUAUUAGAUCGAUUAGAGGUUACCCAUUUGAAAAAGAAGAUAGAUUACAUGGAUGAUGGAUCAUGUGAGUUUCUCCAAUUAUUUGAGAUCACAUGGAAAUAUGUGCAAAACGCCAUAGAGUAUUUAAACAUCAUCGGGGCCUUGGAUGAGAAUGAGAAUCUGACUUGUUUUAGAUAUUUCAGAAUUUCAGAAAGCAUGUGCGGUUUGAUCAAUUAAGGCCAACCUGAUUUACAGAGGUCUGAUUAGAGGUACACUACUAAUUACCUCACUUUUCUCCCAAGAGUAUGCUGUUUUUUCCGGAAGAAAAAGAUUAGCUUGGUUUGAUGUCUUAUUUGAAUUGUGUAGAUUUGGUUUGAUCUCUUAAUUUGUGUUGUGCAAAUUUUGUAUGAAUUAAUUUGGGUUGGGCAGAGGAAGCAAAUAAUUUUUUAAAUUAAUAAAUUUAGUUUGGUUUGUACAUAUGAUGAUGGAUAUUAUUUACUGAAGCAUGAACAUGUCAAGAAACUGUUCGUUUCAAAUUAUUCAUUACAACUUUGCACUAACUGUUUUUGUUAUGCCUAACAGUUUUAAAACCCGCAGCAUCGCUCAGGCUCCUUUGCUAGUUAUAUAUACUAAAACUCAGUUGAUGAUCACUGUUCAUUAACAGUGAAAUGGCGAAGUUGCCCUCUAUUUCUUCUUGGUUCUCCGUUCUAUUCUCUUCUCGGUGCAGUGAAAUGGCCUUUUUGCCCAUGUUGGGCACGGGUCCAUCAUCCUACUUCUUUAGCCUUCAAUUAGGUUUUUUAUUCCCCUUACCCUUUUGUUGGCUUCUCUCUCGUCGAUCUCUGCUUCGAUCCAUCUUAUUUUGUGUUAUGUUCUUCUAAAAUCUUGCUUUCCUCUCAAAUCCUCUGGACUUUAUUUCACAAAAUAUUCACGAAAUUGGCCUCUGAAGUUUUAUCCUUUGUUCUAAAAUCCUGCGGUUCUUAUUUUUGUUUUUUGGGGAUUUCAUUUGCGAUCUCCGUUUUCAAAUAAGUUGUGUAUCCUGUGAACGUAGAUUUGUUGACGUUCUGUGGAAACUCAUAAAAUUGGUUUCCAAGGUUUUAUCCUCAACUUGCAAUUGCUUGGAAGACUUUAUGUCUCUUUUUCCAUAUGUCAUACCGGAGUUGUCGCUGGAUUUCCGACGAAUUUUCAGCUCAGCUUAUUGUGCGAUAAAUUCUAUUGAACCCAGUGUUUUCGAGGCUUUGCCGGCUAAAAGCGGAUUCUGCCUUUGACGUCCUCUGUUGAAAAAUCUGAAAUUUGGCAGCAGCUGGAACCGUUGUUUUGGGAUUUGAAAAGCAAUUAGUUAUUCUGGUUUCUAAGCUGUUUGUUUCUAGCUUCCAAAACGCUCUCUGCUCAAGUUGUUUGUUUUUCAAAUAACAGUAACAGUUUGUUUCCAUCAUGUCUAAAAAGCCUAUAAAUGGUCAAACAAAUGAUGCUAUAAAGCGAAAACAAAAUAUCACUGAUGACAAAUAUGAUAAUACAUUGUUUGAGCAUAAUCAUCAAUCAAAAAGAGUGUGUAGAACUACUUAUAUCCAUAAUUCUCAGUGCUCCACCAGCAGACCUUCUGCUAAGCACUGCGCCAUUGAAUGUGUUGAUGAUGAAAUGCUAGAUGUGACCCCACUUGAAAAGAAAUUGUACACACGUCAUCGAAAAGGGAAAAACGUUGUUAGUUUGUCAAAUAAUGCUCAAAACAGAGUUGAAAAAACCUUUGCUGGUGACAAUUGUAGUCUUAUGAAUAAGGGUCAAGCCUUAUUCCAAAAAAAUAGAAACGGUACGUUUUAAAUUCUGUACAUCAUUAAGUUUUAACUUUAGCAUUUACUUAAUUGUAUGUUGUGAUUAUAUAUAUAUAUUUUUUGGCAUGUGUAUUUUUGUAGGGGUUGUGAAAGAUUAUGCGGACUUGGGUGAUAAGAGUUAUAAAUGUGUUGACUGUGGUGCAUAUUUUUGGUUAAAAGAGUCGCUUAAACAAAGUUGGAAAAAAAAUCAACCCAUUUUCACUCUUUGUUGUCAACAAGGAAAAAUUAAAUUUUCAACUCCAAAGCCAACGCCGAUUUUUUUAGAUUCCUUGCUUGAUCCGAAUGGAGGUCAAAAAAGUUUAUCAUUUCGAGAAAAUAUUAGAGCUUAUAAUUCUAUGUUUUCAUUUACUUCAAUGGGAGCGAAAGUUGAUCAUUCAAUUAAUGAUGGGUCAAGUCCUUACAUUUUUAAAAUUAGUGGUCAAGUUUAUCAUUUGAUGGGAUCUCUUUUACCCGCUAAUAAUGAGUCUCCAAAAUUUGCUUAGCUAUAUGUUUAUGAUACAUAUAAUGAAGUACAAAAUCGUCUUAAAGCUGUUGAUUGUGAUGGAAAAAAUGUAAGACUUGAUUCAAAAAUUGUAGAAAAUCUUAUUAAAAUGUUUGAUGAAUCAAAUGAGUUGGUCAAACUUUUUCGAACGACAAGAGAUGGUCUCAUCUCUUUGAAAAUGAUAUUGUCAGGAAGACAACCAAAUGAUGGCAAGCAAUAUGACCAACCAAUAAGUGAUGAAAUAGGUGGUUUAAUAGUUGGUGAUAUAGGUCUGUCUGACUCUAAUAGAGAUAUCAUUAUAGACUCUAAAAGUAAAGGAUUAAAACAUGUUACAAAAUUGAAUCCAAAGUUUAUGGCUCUUCAGUAUCCUAUUCUUUUUCGGUAUGGUGAAGAUGGCUAUAGACUAAAUUUAAAAUGGAAUGAAAAUUAUAAAGGUCCAAAAAUGAAAAGACAAAGAGUGCCUAUGAGAGCUUAUAUAACUUAUCAAAUUCAAGAAAGAGAACCAUAUUUAACUACAUUGUUAAAAGGAGGUAGACUUUUUCAACAAUAUUUGGUAGAUUCUUAUGCAACACUUGAAGAAGAUAGAUUGGAUUACAUUAGACAAAAUCAAAAAAAUUGAGAAGUGAAGUUUACAAAGGAAUUUACGAUGCAAUAUCAAGACGUGAUAAUGAUGCAAGUAGUUUGGGACAAAAAAUUGUGUUGCCUGCUUCAUAUACAGGAAGUCCUAGAUACAUGAUUAACAAUUAUCAAGAUGCUAUGGCUAUCUGUAGAGAACAUGGACAUCCUGAUUUGUUCAUAACAUUUACCUGUAAUGUAAAGUGGCCAGAAAUUAUGGGAGAAAUUGCAAAAAAAUCGGGAUUCAAACCUGAGGACAGACCUGAUAUAAUUUCCAGAAUAUUUAAAAUGAAACUUGAUGAUAUGCUUGACUUCAUCAAAUCUGGAAAGCCUUUUGGAGAAGUUGAAGCAAAUGAACAAUGCAGUCAUUGCAAAGUCGAGAUAGAAAGCAACAUUUGCUCCAUGUCGGAAACAAAGGCAAAAGAUUUAUGAUCUCUAUGUGAGUAAAAUCAAAUUGGUCACACUCACAUAUAACAAACUCAGUAUACGAACAUAAAAAAAAGCCUCCAAACCUCCAAAGACAGUAGCAAGAUCUUUGUUGAUGGUAGAAAUUACAGAGGAGAUUAUUUGUUGGAGAUUUGAAGAGUAAAACUUAGCAACGCGGUACCGCUGAAAGUGUAAUUGCUAAUCAGGUGUCCACUCUUUUUUCCACAUACUUUGGUUCAAAAGCAAUAUCAUUUGAAUGAUGAAACAUUAAGUUAGCCUCUCAAGUGAAUUGUAUUUGCCACUUCUCUUUUAAAUGAAUUUUAAGAUCAGCUCCAGUCCAUGUUUGUUUAACAAUAUUGUAUCAUUCAUUAUAUAGUUUCACAAAGAUCGUGCAUAAUUCUUGCUGAA